UUGAUGAACUUCAUUUCCUAAAACAUCCAGAAUUGGAGCUCAUAUCUUUGACAGCUAUAAAGUUUCUGCUCCUUCAAAGUUCACAACACAAUGAAUUAAUUCCUAAAACACUCUCAAUGCUGGAGAGCGUUUGUGAUGCUGAAGCAGUGAUUAGUUUUUCUGUUUCUUCUCUGGAGAUGCACAAUGAGGGACGUCUGCAGAGACUGAGAAAGAGUCUCACCACAUCCUGACAUGAGGAAAAAGACUUUAUUGAAGACUAGAAUGAGAAAAACUAUCAGACAGCAGACGGCUGCAUUCAAGUCUGUAGCUGCUGAAUUCAUGGAUGAAUCAUCUGGCACUAGAGAGGAAGACCAUCAAACAUCCACGUCAGCUGAUGGAGGUCCAAGAGUCUCACCGAACAACCAACCUACAGAGUGAAGACCUCAAAUCUGAUUGGACGGCCUCCUAUUCAGCCACGUUUUAGGCUGUUAGAUUGUUCCAGAUAAGACAAGUACAAGAUUCUUCAGAGCCGUUCUACUACGAGCCUGACAGGAAGAACUCC
ensembl:lncRNA